CCCUUAGAUGUACGGGGCUGCACGUGCACUACACUGACUGGCUCAGCGUGUGCCUACCCUAUGUGGCAGAGGCGGGUAACCUGUUGGACCCCAUUCGUGAUGGGGAUGGGGGAUUGCAAUUAUUCCCCAUGAAGGAGGAAUUUCCAGUAAGUGUGGGUCAUAAGCUUACCUGAAGUCCCUGCCCUAUGUAUACACUGCCCGUCGCUACUACUGAUAGGAUGGUUUAGUGAGGCCCUUGGAUGGGCCCCGCCAGGUCAGCCCACUGCCCUGGCAGAGCACUGAGAAGACAGGCGAACUUGACUAUCUAGAGGAAGUAAAAGUCCUAACA
rnacentral:rRNA from 1 species